rfam:Puccinia graminis f. sp. tritici CRL 75-36-700-3 supercont2.1 genomic scaffold, whole genome shotgun sequence.
AAAUAGGCCCCUUUAGGGGCCAUGAAGCCACCAAGUAACUUCAUG